rfam:Salmo salar isolate Sally breed double haploid chromosome ssa19, whole genome shotgun sequence.
CCCCGUGUGGCUCAGUUGGUAGAGCAUGGUGUUUGUGACGCCAGGGUUGUGGGUUAGAUUCCCACGGGGG